GAAAAUAGUUCAGCACUAAGUCACAUUACUGUUAUGGUAAUUGUGAGAUGCAGUGUAUGGAAUAUCUAAAUUCUAGUAUGAUAAAUUAAUGAUUUAAGUCCUUCUUAAAUGAGGCCAUUUACCCAUAGAGGGUGCCAGGCCCGUAUAACAUUAAUGAUUAUUAGAAGAUAUUUCCAAAGAGUCGUGUUGCUUGAUAGUGCAGCACUAAGUGGGUGGUAAACUCCAUCUAAAACUAAAUAUAACCAUGAGACCGAUAGUAAACAAGUACCGUGAGGGAAAGUUGAAAAGAACUCUGAAUAGAGAGUUAAAUAGUACGUGAAACUGCUUAGAGGUUAAACCCGAUGAACCUGAAUAUCCAAUAUAGAGAAUGUGCAUUUUCUCUAUAUAUAUAUGGACAUUGUAAUCUAUUAAUUACGAUUUACAAUGCGAAAGAUUCAGGAUACCUUCGGGACCCGUCUUGAAACACGGACCAAGGAGUCUAACAUAUGUGCAAGUUUUUGGGAUUUAAACCCGAAAGCAUAAUUAACAUAACUAUAAUGGGAUUAGUUAUUAAUUUAUAAUGAAUAAUUCAAUCCCAGGGCGUUCUACCUCUAACUAGAGCGUACCUUGAGCAUAUAUGCUGUGACCCGAAAGAUGGUGAACUAUACUUGAUCAGGUUGAAGUCAGGGGAAACCCUGAUGGAAGACCGAAACAGUUCUGACGUGCAAAUCGAUUGUCAGAAUUGAGUAUAGGGGCGAAAGACCAAUCGAACCAUCUAGUAGCUGGUUCCCUCCGAAGUUUCCCUCAGGAUAGCUGGUGCAUAAUAAAAUAAUCAUAUCUGGUAAAGCGAAUGAUUAGAGGCCUUAGGGUCGAAACGAUCUUAACCUAUUCUCAAACUUUAAAUGGGUAAGCACCUCACCUUUCUUGAUAUGAAGGUUGAGGUUAUGAUAUAAUGUGCCCAGUGGGCCACUUUUGGUAAGCAGAACUGGCGCUGUGGGAUGAACCAAACGUUAUGUUACGGUGCCAAAAUUAGCAACUCAUACAGAUACCAUGAAAGGCGUUGGUUGCUUAAAACAGCAGGACGGUGGACAUGGAAGUCGUAAUCCGCUAAGGAGUGUGUAACAACUCACCUGCCGAAGCAACUAGCCCUUAAAAUGGAUGGCGCUUAAGUUGCAUACCUAUACAUAACCUCUAAAGUAAAUGAUUUAUAAAUUUUUAAUUUAAUAAAUCUUAAAACUUUAGAGAGUAGGAGGGUACAAUGGUGGUAAGCCUGCAUGGAGCCGCCAUUGGUACAGAUCUUGGUGGUAGUAGCAAAUAAUCGAAUGAGAUCUUGGAGGACUGAAGUGGAGAAGGGUUUCGUGUGAACAGUGGUUGAUCACGAGUUAGUCGGUCCUAAGUUUAAGGCGAAAGCCGAAAAUUUUCAAGUAAUAAUAAAAAAAAAAAAUAUAUUUUUAAUAUAUUAUUAUUAUUUUUAAAAUACUUGAUUAUUAUUUGAACGAAAGGGAAUACGGUUCCAAUUCCGUAACCUGUUGAGUAUACGUUUGUUAUUAAAUAUGGGCUUUAAUGCUCAUCCUGGUAACAGGAACAACCAUAAAGAAGCUGUCGAGAAAUAUCGGAAGAGUUUUCUUUUCUGUUUUAUAAUCGUAUUACCAUGGAAGUCUUUCGAAGAGAGAUAUGGUAAAUGGAUUAGAAGAGCAUGACAUUUACUGUUGUGUCGAUAUUUUCUCCUCGGACCUUGAAAAUUUAUGGUGGGGUCACGCAAACUUCUCAACAGACCGUACCGAUAUCCGCAGCUGGUCUCCAAGGUGAAGAGUCUCUAGUCGAUAGAAUAAUGUAGGUAAGGGAAGUCGGCAAAUUAGAUCCGUAACUUCGGGAUAAGGAUUGGCUCUGAAGAUUGAGAUAAUCGGGCUUGAUUGGGAAACAAAAUAUGGUUUAUGUACUCGUUCUGGGUAAAUAGAAAUUUUCGGAUUUUGUUCCCCGGAUAGUUAGUUACGUAACCAAUUGUGGAACUUUCUUGCUAAUAUUUAUUAUAGAAUAAUGCAAAUUAUUCUUAAUAAUUAUAACGAUUAUCAAUUAACAAUCAAUUCAGAACUGGCACGGACUUGAGGAAUCCGACUGUCUAAUUAAAACAAAGCAUUGUGAUGGCCCUAACGGGUGUUGACACAAUGUGAUUUCUGCCCAGUGCUCUGAAUGUCAAAGUGAAGAAAUUCAAGUAAGCGCGGGUAAACGGCAGGAGUAACUAUGACUCUUUUAAGGUAGCCAAAUGCCUCGUCAUCUAAUUAGUGACGCGCAUGAAUGGAUUAACGAGAUUCCUUCUGUCCCUAUCUACUAUCUAGCGAAACCACAGCCAAGGGAACGGGCUUGGAAUAAUUAGCGGGGAAAGAAGACCCUGUAGAGUUUGACACUAGUCUGGCAGUGUAAGGAGACAUAAGAGGUGUAGCAUAAGUGGGAGAUAAUUAUGAUUUCGAUUAUUUUUAUCAACAAUGAAAUACCACUACUCUUAUUGUUUCCUUACUUACUUGAUUAAAUGGAACGUGUAUCAUUUCCUAGCCAUUAUACGGAUUAUAUUUUUAUAUAUAUCUUAUGGUAUUGGGUUAUGAUGCAAGCUUCUUGAUCAAAGUACUAAGAGUUUGUUAUAUAAUUGUAAACAAAUAUUAAAAUUAAUGAUAGUGUAGAUUUUUUUUAAAAAUUUACAUUAAAGUUAUUUAAUAUUUGGUAUAACUCCUACACUCUGGUAUGAUCCAAUUCAAGGACAUUGCCAGGUGGGGUGUUUGACUGGGGCGGUACAUCUCUCAAAUAAUAACGGAGGUGUCCCAAGGCCAGCUCAGUGCGGACAGAAACCACACAUAGAGCAAAAGGGCAAAUGCUGACUUGAUCUCCGUGUUCAGUACACACAGAGACAGCAAAAGCUUGGCCUAUCGAUCCUUUUGGUUUAAUGAGUUUUUAACAAGAGGUGUCAGAAAAAUUACCUCAGGGAUAACUGGCUUGUGGCGGCCAAGCGUUCAUAGCGACGUCGCUUUUUGAUCCUUCGAUGUCGGCUCUUCCUAUCAUUGUGAAGCAAAAUUCACCAAGCGUUGGAUUGUUCACCCAUUCAAGGGAAUGUGAGCUGGGUUUAGACCGUCGUGAGACAGGUUAGUUUUACCCUACUAAUGACAAAAUGUUGUUGCGAUAGCAUUCCUGCGUAGUACGAGAGGAACCGCAGGUACGGACCAAUGGUACAAUACUUGUUCGAGCGAACAGUGGUAUGAUUCUACGUCCGUUGGAUUAUGCCUGAACGCCUCUAAG
rnacentral:rRNA from 1 species